UACGUAGGGUGCAAGCGUUGUCCGGAAUCACUGGGCGUAAAGGGCGCGUAGGUGGCGGCCCAAGUCCAUGGUGAAAGCUCGUCGCUCAACGACGAGUCGGCCACGGAUACUGGGUUGCUUGAGCACUGUAGAGGCAGAUGGAAUUCCGGGUGUAGCGGUGGAAUGCGUAGAGAUCCGGAAGAACACCGGUGGCGAAGGCGGCUCACUGGCCCGGUACUGACGCUGAGGUGCGAAAGCGUGGGGAGCGAACAGG
rnacentral:rRNA from 1 species